rnacentral:snoRNA from 1 species
AUCCCAUGAUGAGGACAAUUCUUUUCAUAUGUUUAAAACGUUCAAAGGCCUCGUGGAACAUUUCACCUUGUUGUUGUUGAAAACUUCUCAACCCUUUCCUAGCAU